rnacentral:rRNA from 1 species
UUGUGUAUCAGUACAUGGCAUAUCAAUAAGCGGAGGAAAAGAAACUAACAAGGAUUCCCCUAGUAACGGCGAGUGAAGCGGGAAGAGCUCAAAUUUGAAAUCUUCAAGGGUUUCCCUUUACGAAUUGUAGUUUAAAGAAGUGUUUUCUGUUAGAGAGUUUCGGUAAAAGUUCUUUGGAAUAGGACAUCAUAGAGGGUGAGAAUCCCGUAUUUGACGUCACUUUCUACUAGCUGUUGUGAUACACUUUCAAAGAGUCGGAUUGUUUGGGAAUGCAGUCCAAGAUGGGUGGUAAAUUUCAUCUAAAGCUAAAUAUUGGCGAGAGACCGACUAGCGAACAAGUACCGUGAGGGAAAGAUGUAAAGAACUUUGAAAAGAGAGUUAAACAGUACGUGAAAUUGUCAAAAGGGAAGCGUUUGACACCAGUGUUGUUUUUCCGAAAAUCAAUUAUAAAUGGCUUCAUGUUAGGUAGUCAUGACCUUAAUAGGCUUGUUGCUUAGUUUGGUUCUUGUCUUUCGUAUGCACUUUUCGGUUAACAAGUCAACAUCAAUUUCUCUUGUCGUAAAAGGUUAAGAGGAAGGUGGCUUUACUUUCGGGUAAAGUGUUUAUAGCCUUUUAUCUCUGCAAUCGGAGAGAUUGAGGUCUGCAGCGUAGAUCCUUCGGGGUUAGAUACAUUGGUGCUAAGCUAUAGCCUUGUAUAGACAACUUGUUGACUAUGCUCAGUCAUGUAGCUUACUCGCUGAUGCUAUUUUACCUACGCUUAGGAUGUUGACAGCAGUAUAGACUGU